GCACUCUCCAUGAUCUAACAGGUUUCAGGAGACAAGGAUUAGUUAGGCAUUGUGUGUAAUCCUUCACAUUUAUUUCCUGUGAUAUUGGUUUUGAGUAGCGCUUUAAAACAAAAGGGUUCUAUGAUGACAGGUAGGGUUAAAAAUUAAACAUUUUUCAUCUGAAGAUAAUGAAUAACCUUGCGAGUAUGAGUUACCAUACCCGGUCUCAGGGAUGGAACAUUCUGGAAACCCCUUCGGUCUCCUCAGAGUUAGCUUUGAGAGAUGGGGGGGGGCCCAAAUCCAAUCUCUGCCAAGGUGCUAUGGGUGAGGUGCCAUGGGUGAGAUUGCUAUUGGCCUGAUAUCAGACAGGCCUACUUCUAUCCCUGCUCAACCCAACUUUAUUUCGGCCUCGGAGGAGACUUGGAUCCCCAGGCAGAGGAUGGUGUGCGCGGAGGGUAGAGUGGAGACAGGCGUCUCUUGAGUUGGAUGUGACCUGAUGCGACGUGCACUUGCAACUGCCUUAAUGGAAGAUCAUUUUUCCACGUCCAGAGCGGUCAAUGUUAACCUUAUUGUUUUGUUUUUCUUCGUUUGUCAGUGGGUUUUGAGAUUAUUUUUUGUAAUGACAAGCACUAUAAAACAAAUUCUAGAUCAUUA